GACGAACGCUGGCGGCGUGCCUAACACAUGCAAGUCGAGCGGUGAUGAUGUGAGGAAGUUUUCGGAUGGAUUCACAUUAUUUUAGCGGCGAACGGGUGAGUAACGCGUGAGCGACCAACCUUGCACAGGGGGAUAACGGACCGAAAGGUUCACUAAUACCGCAUGAGACCACGGUGUUGCAUGACACAGGGGUCAAAGGAGCAAUCCGGUGCAAGACGGGCUCGCGUCCGAUUAGGUAGUUGGAGGGGUAACGGCACACCAAGCCUAUGAUCGGUAGCCGACCUGAGAGGGUGAUCGGCCACAUUGGAACUGAGACACGGUCCAAACUCCUACGGGAGGCAGCAGUGGGGAAUAUUGGGCAAUGGGGGAAACCCUGACCCAGCAACGCCGCGUGAAGGAAGAAGGUUUUCGGAUUGUAAACUUCUGUCCUUGGUGAAGAGAAGAAGACGGUAGCCAAGGAGGAAGCCCCGGCUAACUACGUGCCAGCAGCCGCAGUAA
rnacentral:rRNA from 1 species